GCGCCAGUAGCUCAGCUGGAUAGAGCGUCGGCCUCCGAAGCCGAAGGUCGCAGGUUCGAACCCCGCCUGGCGUA
rnacentral:tRNA from 1 species